CUGGGUGAACAACAUACCUCAAUGUGUGAGCCUCAUCGAUAAUUCCCUUCCGCAGGCCAUCUAUAUCUGGCAAACACAGUCUAUCCUGGUAUCUCAAAAUACCAUCACCACUAAUCUCAAAAGACAUCACCUUCUGAUGACCCACAUCAUUCUUAAUCUGCAUCAAGAUGGGAUCUUUGGCCUGCUUUUCUUUGACUUUGGCACAAAUGGAUGAUUUAGCUAUCUCAUGCACAACCACCCCUCCAUCUUCGGAAUCUAAGAGUCACACUCCCA
rnacentral:lncRNA from 1 species